UACGUAGGUGACAAGCGUUGUCCGGAUUUACUGGGCGUAAAGAGCGCGCAGGCGGUCGUUCAAGUCGAGUGUGAAAGCCCCCGGCUCAACUGGGGAGGGUCAUUCGAUACUGAUCGACUCGAAGGCAGGAGAGGGUAGUGGAAUUCCCGGUGUAGUGGUGAAAUGCGUAGAUAUCAGGAGGAACACCAAUUGCGAAGGCAGCUCGCUGGGACGUUACUGACGCUGAGACGCGAAAGCUAGGGGAGCAAACGGG
rnacentral:rRNA from 1 species